rnacentral:ncRNA from 1 species
UAAAAGGCAAAGCAUUUGAAAGAAUGCGACGCAAAGCUAUAGGGUCUUCAAUUUAAGACAGCCAGCUGC